AAUACCGGAUAAUAUUUUGAACCGCAUGGUUCAAAAGUGAAAGACGGUCUUGCUGUCACUUAUAGAUGGAUCCGCGCUGCAUUAGCUAGUUGGUAAGGUAACGGCUUACCAAGGCAACGAUGCAUAGCCGACCUGAGAGGGUGAUCGGCCACACUGGAACUGAGACACGGUCCAGACUCCUACGGGAGGCAGCAGUAGGGAAUCUUCCGCAAUGGGCGAAAGCCUGACGGAGCAACGCCGCGUGAGUGAUGAAGGUCUUCGGAUCGUAAAACUCUGUUAUUAGGGAAGAACAUAUGUGUAAGUAACUGUGCACAUCUUGACGGUACCUAAUCAGAAAGCCACGGCUAACUACGUGCCAGCAGCCGCGGUAAUACGUAGGUGGCAAGCGUUAUCCGGAAUUAUUGGGCGUAAAGCGCGCGUAGGCGGUUUUUUAAGUCUGAUGUGAAAGCCCACGGCUCAACCGUGGAGGGUCAUUGGAAACUGGAAAACUUGAGUGCAGAAGAGGAAAGUGGAAUUCCAUGUGUAGCGGUGAAAUGCGCAGAGAUAUGGAGGAACACCAGUGGCGAAGGCGACUUUCUGGUCUGUAACUGACGCUGAUGUGCGAAAGCGUGGGGAUCAAACAGGAUUAGAUACCCUGGUAGUCCACGCCGUAAACGAUGAGUGCUAAGUGUUAGGGGGUUUCCGCCCCUUAGUGCUGCAGCUAACGCAUUAAGCACUCCGCCUGGGGAGUACGACCGCAAGGUUGAAACUCAAAGGAAUUGACGGGGACCCGCACAAGCGGUGGAGCAUGUGGUUUAAUUCGAAGCAACGCGAAGAACCUUACCAAAUCUUGACAUCCUUUGACAACUCUAGAGAUAGAGCCUUCCCCUUCGGGGGACAAAGUGACAGGUGGUGCAUGGUUGUCGUCAGCUCGUGUCGUGAGAUGUUGGGUUAAGUCCCGCAACGAGCGCAACCCUUAAGCUUAGUUGCCAUCAUUAAGUUGGGCACUCUAAGUUGACUGCCGGUGACAAACCGGAGGAAGGUGGGGAUGACGUCAAAUCAUCAUGCCCCUUAUGAUUUGGGCUACACACGUGCUACAAUGGACAAUACAAAGGGCAGCGAAACCGCGAGGUCAAGCAAAUCCCAUAAAGUUGUUCUCAGUUCGGAUUGUAGUCUGCAACUCGACUACAUGAAGCUGGAAUCGCUAGUAAUCGUAGAUCAGCAUGCUACGGUGAAUACGUUCCCGGGUCUUGUACACACCGCCCGUCACACCACGAGAGUUUGUAACACCCGAAGCCGGUGGAGUAACCUUUUAGGAGCUAGCCGUCGAAGGUGGGACAAAUGAUUGGGGUGAAGUCGUAACAAGGUAGCCGUAUCGGAAGGUGCGGCUGGAUCACCUCCUUU
rnacentral:rRNA from 1 species